AAUAGUUAUAUUUAUGGCCACUUUUAAAUAUAAUAUAUAUUACUAUUGUAUUAAUAUAUCAAUAUAAUAGUAUUUAAUAUAUGCAUAUUAAUUUAUUAAUACAAAUAUACAUAUACACAUACAAAUAUAGCCGGGUGUUUGAGUAUGAUGGUACAUGUGUGAGAGUAUACUGGUGUGUGUGUGUGAGGCCAAGUAUGAAUUAUCUGUCACAGCCUCGAGUCACGAGCCAGUGUGAACUUCAGUCAGAGGAAAUCAACUGAUCACUGAAAUUAUCUGCAGCAGAAUAACAGCUGUUAAUAACAUGUAGCCCCCCCAUUACAUUAUCACUGUUCUUAAUCAUGUGACUCUAAAGAAGAAACCUCUGAAAGCGUACCAUCAUUCAUUUGACCCCAAAAGAACGUGAUCAGAGAAAAAAAUGAAUCUGAAAAAAAGUCAGCCACAUUAAGCAGCUCACAUUAAACGGUGUCAGGGAUGAAAUACAUUUGUAGUCCAGGUUCAACAAACCCAGCUGUUGUCAUGGUGUUUCUUUCCUCUCACAGGUCUGGGAGCUGUUUAAAGAUUCAGUGUGAAGUUGGUAAAAUGUGGAGGUGUCAUCCAGGCUGUUAACGGAGCUGAUGCAGAGGACGAGUGUUGAAGCAGAACUGGAAUCAUGUAUCCGGCCCCGUCUGCGUGAGCGAAUGAAACAGCUUCAUGACUCAGUGUGCCGCCAUGUUGCUCUUGUUCACGAGCUGCGACCCAACACCGCCGCAGUGUUCCACCUCGCAUUUCCACGCAGGUGCUCGGAUGUCAGGACCUGGACGCUUUGACGUUUGCUCCAUUUACAUUUCAGGGAGAGGAUCCUGUCAUGCAGAAUGACCUGCAGUCUGUGAGGAGGGUUUUACUGGGCUAGUGUUAGACUCCAACAGGACACGUCUUUCUCAUGUCAUGAUAUACAGCAGUUUCAACCUCAGUAUCUUGGUUAAAUAGCUAACUGUGGUUUCUCCCCCUUCAAUAUUGAGUCAAUGUCGUAUUGUUAUAAAGUAUAACACUGUGGGACAGUUUUCAGGUUUUCACUGAGUGUUCUCCUUGUUAAAUGCAAUUAUUAUUCAUGACAUUUAAGAAAAGGUCGAUAGCAGCCGUGAUGAUCGGAGAGAGAAUUUCAUUCAUAUUUAUAAUUGGUGCUUUGGAACAUAUUGAACAAUGUAAAAUGUUUGCAUUACCAUAAAUAAAACAUUUGGAGCACAGAC